UACGUAGGGCGCAAGCGUUGUCCGGAAUUAUUGGGCGUAAAGAGCUCGUAGGUGGCUUGUCGCGUCUGUCGUGAAAGCCCGGGGCUUAACUCCGGGUCUGCGGUGGAUACGGGCAGGCUAGAGGCAGGUAGGGGAGAAUGGAAUUCCCGGUGUAGCGGUGAAAUGCGCAGAUAUCAGGAGGAACACCGGUGGCGAAGGCGGGUCUCUGGGCCGAUACUGACGCUGAGGAGCGAAAGCGUGGGGAGCGAACAGG
rnacentral:rRNA from 1 species